rnacentral:rRNA from 1 species
CGCGUAGGCGGUUUGGUAAGUCGGAUGUGAAAGCCCAGGGCUCAACCCUGGAAUUGCAUUCGAUACUGCUUAACUAGAGUACGGUAGAGGGAAGUGGAAUUUCCGGUGUAGCGGUGAAAUGCGUAGAUAUCGGAAGGAACACCAGUGGCGAAGGCGACUUCCUGGGCCAGUACUGACGCUGAGGUGCGAAAGCGUGGGGAGCAAACA